rnacentral:misc_RNA from 1 species
AAGACUAUAGACCUGCGGAGUACCUGCGGAGGGAUCAUUAGUGAACGCCCUCACGGGCUUAUAACUGUUCCAAACCUCUGUGAACCGUGCCCUUCGGGGCUAUUUUACAAACAUGGUGUAAUGAACGUCAUAUAUCAUAACAAAACAAAACUUUCAGCAAUGGAUCUCU